rnacentral:tRNA from 1 species
UGGGAUGUAGCUCAGUGGUAGAGCGUUUGCCUAGCAUACAGAAGGCCUAGGUUCUACCCACAGCACCACAG